rnacentral:rRNA from 1 species
UACAGAGGUCUCAAGCGUUGUUCGGAUUCAUUGGGCGUAAAGGGUGCGUAGGCGGCGCGGUAAGUCGGAUGUGAAAUCUCGGAGCUUAACUUCGAAACUGCAUUCGAUACUGCCGUGCUUUGAGGACUGGGAGAGGAGACUGGAAUUUACGGUGUAGCAGUGAAAUGCGUAGAGAUCGUAAGGAAGACCAGUGGCGAAGGCGGGUCUCUGGACAGUUCCUGACACUGAGGCACGAAGGCCAGGGGGAGCAAAACGGGG